GCAAGCUAUUAACAUAGCAGGGUAUAAGAAAAUCUUAAUUAAACAGAACUUGCAAUAAAGAAAGCCUAAAUAGGGCUCUCUUUACAGGAAGUGUUUAUGGAAGGCUGUGCAAGUCACAUGCAGGGAGGUGUGACUAGGGUUCAUAAACAAAGGGAUUUAACUUUAAAGGAACACUCCAGGCACCAUAACAACUUCAUUUACACUAAGUCUUUAAGGUG